AGCGCGGCUCUCCGCUCUCUCAACUGGGUCUGCUUCGCCACCAGGUCACAGAUCUGCUUCUCCACGGCCUCCAGCUCGUUCAGGAGGUGC